GAUGAACGCUGGCGGCGUGCCUAAUACAUGCAAGUCGAACGAGGUGCUUUUGUAGCAAUACGAGAGUAUCCUAGUGGCGAACGGGUGAGUAACGCGUGGAUGACCUGCCCCAAAGUGUGGGAUAACAGUCCGAAAGGAUUGCUAAUACCUCAUGUGGUUAUCGGUUUUAGAAAGCGAUAACUAAAGCAGCAAUGCGCUUUGGGAGGGAUCUGCGUCCCAUCAGCUAGUUGGUGAGGUAACGGCUCACCAAGGCGACGACGGGUAGGGGACCUGAGAGGGUGGCCCCCCACAAUGGAACUGAAACACGGUCCAUACACCUACGGGUGGCAGCAGUAGGGAAUAUUGCUCAAUGGGCGAAAGCCUGAAGCAGCAACGCCGCGUGUGCGAUGAAGGCCUUGGGUCGUAAAGCACUUUCUAAGAGAUGAGAAUGGACAGUAUCUUAGGAAUAAGUCUCGGCUAACUACGUGCCAGCAGCCGCGGUAAAGUCUAG
rnacentral:rRNA from 1 species